rnacentral:rRNA from 1 species
UACAGAGGUCCCAAGCGUUGUUCGGAUUUACUGGGCGUAAAGGGCUCGUAGGUGGCCAACUAAGUCAGACGUGAAAUCCCUCGGCUUAACCGGGGAACUGCGUCUGAUACUGGAUGGCUUGAGUUUGGGAGAGGGACGCGGAAUUCCAGGUGUAGCGGUGAAAUGCGUAGAUAUCUGGAGGAACACCGGUGGCGAAGGCGGCGUCCUGGACCAAUACUGACACUGAUGAGCGAAAGCCAGGGGAGCAAACGGG